GUCGUAAAGGUGGAUGAGUGGUGUUUGGUUUGUUACGUGUGGUUGGCUGCGGCGUUUGCAACAACUUCCAUGCUUUCAGACCUCUUCAUUUGUGCGGCAAGGCUUGUAUCGCCUUGAGCGUAUUGUGGGUUUGCUGUGUUGAAUACCUAAUCAAUGGUAUCGGUUGGAUUGAUCAAUGUUUCAUUUCGUCUGUCGUCGCAUUCGCGGCGUGAGAUGAACCUUGAUGCGGUCUCUUUGAUCCACCUCGUUGAAGCGCNUGCUUUGACGUUKWGGCGCAUUGAGCAUUGCUUGGUSUCUUGCAURCGGAACAUGUAGCGGGCAUGAAUCUWACGGUUCUCGUUUGCCCUCAUAUUAGCGUAACGCUUCUCUUACACGACUUGCUCCACGUUUUAGCUYGUACGGACGUGGU
rnacentral:misc_RNA from 1 species